rnacentral:rRNA from 1 species
UACAGAGGUCUCAAGCGUUGUUCGGAUUCAUUGGGCGUAAAGGGCGCGUAGGCUGCGGGGCAAGUCGGGUGUGAAAUCUCAGAGCUCAACUCUGAAACUGCACUCGAUACUGCUUUGCUCGAGGACUGGAGAGGAGAUUGGAAUUCACGGUGUAGCAGUGAAGUGCGUAGAUAUCGUGAGGAAGACCAGUGGCGAAGGCGGAUCUCUGGACAGUUCCUGACGCUGAGGCGCGAAGGCCAGGGAGCAAACGGG